rnacentral:rRNA from 1 species
UUGGAUCCAGACUUUGAUUAUGGCUCAGGAUGAACGCUAGCUACAGGCUUAACACAUGCAAGUCGAGGGGAAACGACGUCGAAAGCUUGCUUUUGAUGGGCGUCGACCGGCGCACGGGUGAGUAACGCGUAUCCAACCUGCCCACCACUUGGGGAUAACCUUGCGAAAGUAAGACUAAUACCCAAUGAUAUCUCUAGAAGACAUCUGAAAGAGAUUAAAGAUUUAUCGGUGAUGGAUGGGGAUGCGUCUGAUUAGCUUGUUGGCGGGGUAACGGCCCACCAAGGCAACGAUCAGUAGGGGUUCUGAGAGGAAGGUCCCCCACAUUGGAACUGAGACACGGUCCAAACUCCUACGGGAGGCAGCAGUGAGGAAUAUUGGUCAAUGGACGAGAGUCUGAACCAGCCAAGUAGCGUGCAGGAAGACGGCCCUAUGGGUUGUAAACUGCUUUUAUAAGGGAAUAAAGUGAGAGUCGUGACUCUUUUUGCAUGUACCUUAUGAAUAAGGACCGGCUAAUUCCGUGCCAGCAGCCGCGGUAAUACGGAAGGUCCGGGCGUUAUCCGGAUUUAUUGGGUUUAAAGGGAGCGUAGGCCGGAGAUUAAGCGUGUUGUGAAAUGUAGACGCUCAACGUCUGCACUGCAGCGCGAACUGGUUUCCUUGAGUACGCACAAAGUGGGCGGAAUUCGUGGUGUAGCGGUGAAAUGCUUAGAUAUCACGAAGAACUCCGAUUGCGAAGGCAGCUCACUGGAGCGCAACUGACGCUGAAGCUCGAAAGUGCGGGUAUCGAACAGGAUUAGAUACCCUGGUAGUCCGCACGGUAAACGAUGGAUGCCCGCUGUUGGUCUGAAUAGGUCAGCGGCCAAGCGAAAGCAUUAAGCAUCCCACCUGGGGAGUACGCCGGCAACGGUGCAACUCAAAUGAAUUGACGGA